GAAAGGCCAAUCAAACUUCGUGAUAGCUGGUUCUCUCCGAAAUAUAUUUAGGUAUAGCGUUGUGUCGUAAUAUAAGGGGGUAGAGCACUGAAUGGGCUAGGGCAUACACCAAUGUACCAAACCCUAUCAAACUCCGAAUACCUUAUAUGUAAUCACAGCAGUCAGGCGGCGAGUGAUAAAAUCCGUCGUCAAGAGGGAAACAACCCAGACUACCAGCUAAGGUCCCUAAAUCUUACUUAAGUGGAAAACGAUGUGAAGUUACUUAAACAACCAGGAGGUUGGCUUAGAAGCAGCCAUCCUUUAAAGAAAGCGUAAUAGCUCACUGGUCUAGUGAUUUUGCGCGGAAAAUAUAACGGGGCUAAAGUAAGUACCGAAGCUGUAGACUUGCGCACAACUUAGAUUAUUUAAGUUUAGAAUAUGAGAAACUAAGUUAUAUGUUUAGUUAUAUUUUUACUGAUUUUUAUAGAGUAAAGAUAGAAAUAAAACUUAGUAAAAUCAGUAAAAAUAUUCUUAGACUAAAGUUAAGUAGUUUAAGUUGUGUGCAAGUGGUAGGAGAGCGUUCUAUUUGCGUCGAAGGUAUACCGGUAAGGAGUGCUGGAGCGAAUAGAAGUGAGCAUGCAGGCAUGAGUAGCGAUAAUUAAUGUGAGAAUCAUUAACGCCGUAAACCCAAGGUUUCCUACGCGAUGCUCGUCAUCGUAGGGUUAGUCGGGUCCUAAGUCGAGUCCGAAAGGGGUAGACGAUGGCAAAUUGGUUAAUAUUCCAAUACCAACAUUAGUGUGCGAUGGAAGGACGCUUAGGGCUAAGGGGGCUAGCGGAUGGAAGUGCUAGUCUAAGGUCGUAGGAGGUUAUACAGGCAAAUCCGUAUAACAAUACUCCGAGAACUGAAAGGCUUUUUGAAGUCUUCGGAUGGAUAGAAGAACCCCUGAUGCCGUCGAGCCAAGAAAAGUUUCUAAGUUUAGCUAAUGUUGCCCGUACCGUAAACCGACACAGGUGGGUGGGAUGAGUAUUCUAAGGCGCGUGGAAGAACUCUCUUUAAGGAACUCUGCAAAAUAGCACCGUAUCUUCGGUAUAAGGUGUGGUUCGCUUCGUAUUAGGAUUUACUCCGAAAGCGAAGAAACUUACAACAAAGAGUCCCUCCCGACUGUUUACCAAAAACACAGCACUCUGCUAACUCGUAAGAGGAUGUAUAGGGUGUGACGCCUGCCCGGUGCUCGAAGGUUAAUUGAUGGGGUUAGCAUUAGCGAAGCUCUUGAUCGAAGCCCGAGUAAACGGCGGCCGUAACUAUAACGGUCCUAAGGUAGCGAAAUUCCUUGUCGGUUAAAUACCGACCUGCAUGAAUGGCGUAACGAGAUGGGAGCUGUCUCAAAGAGGGAUCCAGUGAAAUUGUAGUGGAGGUGAAAAUUCCUCCUACCCGCGGCAAGACGGAAAGACCCCGUGGACCUU
rnacentral:rRNA from 1 species